ACCUCUGGACUUCACUCUGCUCCUGGGGAUUAGCCCUUUCCACCAGAGCACCACCAUUAUAGAACACAUGCCAAGCAUCAACCAUGUCUUGAAAGAUGGAAGAGAAUAAGAGCUGGACCCUGCCCUCAAGGAAACUAUGAUCAGGUCCCAAGGCUAAUGGAAGCAAUUUGUAUACCAACCCAAACUGACUGGCCCACUUUUCAAAAUACAGGCUAAGCCACCAAUAAAACUUGAAUUGUUGACCUGUUCCUGCAGUUGUUUGCAUAAUGAAUUGAUUCCUACCAUGUCAAGAAACGGGUGAUUGUUAAAUGAAUGAAUGUCUGACAUUAUGAGGGGAGGAUGUGUUUCUCUGUCCAUACAGCCAACUCACAGCAGAAUGACCAACACUUAGUAUCUGCAGUUAAAAGAGCCAAUUCAAAUAUCAUAUGGAACUAACAGCUAAAGAGCUGAGGAGAAGUCAUUCUGCUGCCACAAAACGUAAUUAAGAUAUAUUAAACUCAUUAUUCAAGGGAAAUAAGCAUCUACUCUAUGGAAGUAUACUAUGUGAAGGGAUGUAUUUCAGAUAGUUAGAUAAAGGCUUUUAAUUUAUUUCCCAUGCCUUUAUGACUUGCUCUGCACUCACAUGUUUCAAUAUAUUAACCUGCCCUUAAUUUAGGUAUAGACCAUUACAAGGUGUGGUCCAGUGCUAUAGACAAAGACAGCAUUAAAAAUAUGCAAGACAAA